CGGUAAUACGUAGGUGGCAAGCGUUGUCCGGAUUUAUUGGGCGUAAAGCGAGCGCAGGCGGUUUUUUAAGUCUGAUGUGAAAGCUUUCGGCUCAACCGAAGAAGUGCAUCGGAAACUGGGAAACUUGAGUGCAGAAGAGGACAGUGGAACUCCAUGUGUAGCGGUGAAAUGCGUAGAUAUAUGGAAGAACACCAGUGGCGAAGGCGGCUGUCUGGUCUGUAACUGACGCUGAGGCUCGAAAGUAUGGGUAGCAAACAGGAUUAGAUACCCUGGUAGUCCAUACCGUAAACGAUGAAUGCUAAGUGUUGGAGGGUUUCCGCCCUUCAGUGCUGCAGCUAACGCAUUAAGCAUUCCGCCUGGGGAGUACGGCCGCAAGGCUGAAACUCAAAGGAAUUGACGGGGGCCCGCACAAGCGGUGGAGCAUGUGGUUUAAUUCGAAGCUACGCGAAGAACCUUACCAGGUCUUGACAUACUAUGCAAAUCUAAGAGAUUAGACGUUCCCUUCGGGGACAUGGAUACAGGUGGUGCAUGGUUGUCGUCAGCUCGUGUCGUGAGAUGUUGGGUUAAGUCCCGCAACGAGCGCAACCCUUAUUAUCAGUUGCCAGCAUUAAGUUGGGCACUCUGGUGAGACUGCCGGUGACAAACCGGAGGAAGGUGGGGAUGACGUCAAAUCAUCAUGCCCCUUAUGACCUGGGCUACACACGUGCUACAAUGGAUGGUACAACGAGUUGCGAACUCGCGAGAGUAAGCUAAUCUCUUAAAGCCAUUCUCAGUUCGGAUUGUAGGCUGCAACUCGCCUACAUGAAGUCGGAAUCGCUAGUAAUCGCGGAUCAGCAUGCCGCGGUGAAUACGUUCCCGGGCCUUGUACACACCGCCCGUCACACCAUGAGAGUUUGUAACACCCAAAGUCGGUGGGGUAACC
rnacentral:rRNA from 2 species